rnacentral:sRNA from 1 species
AUGAAACGGAAAGAAAA